rnacentral:rRNA from 1 species
GUUGAACGCUGGCGGCAGGCCUAACACAUGCAAGUCGAGCGGAUGAAGGGAGCUUGCUCCUGGAUUCAGCGGCGGACGGGUGAGUAAUGCCUAGGAAUCUGCCUGGUAGUGGGGGAUAACGUCCGGAAACGGGCGCUAAUACCGCAUACGUCCUGAGGGAGAAAGUGGGGGAUCUUCGGACCUCACGCUAUCAGAUGAGCCUAGGUCGGAUUAGCUAGUUGGUGGGGUAAAGGCCUACCAAGGCGACGAUCCGUAACUGGUCUGAGAGGAUGAUCAGUCACACUGGAACUGAGACACGGUCCAGACUCCUACGGGAGGCAGCAGUGGGGAAUAUUGGACAAUGGGCGAAAGCCUGAUCCAGCCAUGCCGCGUGUGUGAAGAAGGUCUUCGGAUUGUAAGGCACUUUAAGUUGGGAGGAAGGGCAGUAAGUUAAUACCUUGCUGUUUUGACGUUACCAACAGAAUAAGCACCGGCUAACUUCGUG